rnacentral:rRNA from 1 species
UACGGAGGGAGCUAGCGUUGUUCGGAAUUACUGGGCGUACAGCGCACGUCGGCGGCUUUGUAAGUUAGAGGUGAAAGCCCGGGGCUCAACUCCGGAACUGCCUUUAAGACUGCAUCGCUUGAAUCCAGGAGAGGUGAGUGGAAUUCCGAGUGUAGAGGUGAAAUUCGUAGAUAUUCGGAAGAACACCAGUGGCGAAGGCGGCUCACUGGACUGGUAUUGACGCUGAGGUGCGAAAGCGUGGGGAGCAAACAGG